rnacentral:lncRNA from 1 species
GCUAGUUUAGUGGGAGUUGGACCUCCUUAUAAGGGAGGAUGUUUUCACACAUGUAUGAGCUUGAGAACAAGAGAGACAUACACGCGCGCUCCUCCUCCGCCGCCCGCCUCGCCUCGUCGCACCGCGGGAAUGAGCCGAGCCGAACUAAUUUUUUGCCACGCACGACUGGUAUAUGAAAGGCCAUUCGAGAAAAGCUGAACGUUUUCUGCUGUAGUGGAUAUUGAAAGCUCACGCUGCAGUUUCGAACGUUUUCUGCUGUAGUGGAUAUUGAAAGCAGUUGCGUCUGUUCGCUUCACAUCCGUCGCUCGUCUUUCGUCUCCUUCUCCUGCGCCUAUAAAAGAGAGGUCGCUCCUCUCCAGAGAUACGACGCAUCAGAAGUUCCCACUCGCCACCGGUUUCUUCUCUCUCUGCUGCUGCUACGUUCUUCCUCAUCCCGUCCUGCGGCGUGCACCGUUCGUCGGGACAGUAGGCCUCCGAAACUCCGCCUCUUCGAGUCCUGUACGGGAGAAGGGCGAUAAGGUUUUUGGGGAGCGCUCAGCGCGACUACUGGCUUCCAUCACGUACUCCGACGAUCUCUUCCCGAACGACGACUUCUUCCCCGACAUCGACCACCUCUUCGGUACUAUGGCCAACGAUAACGCCAACACCAAUGCUCCUGCUGCUGCAUCUCAGUACGUACUUUUGUGCUUCUUCUUUGAAUUCCUA